UACAGAGGGGGCCAGCGUUAUUCGGAAUUAUUGGGCGUAAAGAGCUCGUAGGCGGCCUGUUGCGUCCGCUGUGAAAACCCGGGGCUUAACCCCGGGCUUGCAGUGGAUACGGGCAGGCUGGAGGCAGGCAGGGGAGAACGGAAUUCCCGGUGUAGCGGUGAAAUGCGCAGAUAUCGGGAGGAACACCGGUGGCGAAGGCGGUUCUCUGGGCCUGUACUGACGCUGAGGAGCGAAAGCGUGGGGAGCGAACAGG
rnacentral:rRNA from 1 species